AACUUCUACAGAACCAAAUAUGACACAAUACAUACCAAUUAAUUUCAAAACAGAUUUACGAACAAAGAUAAACAUAGAUCCAUAUAAUCCAGAUUUAAAGAUUCAUUCACUAAUCUGGUUCUAGAACAUUUUUUCUAUACAAGGCGUUGUUCUUCAGUUUAGCCAAAGUAAUUUAUAUCUUAUCGCUUAAGUAAUAAAGCUGAGAUUAGUGCAACAAGCAAUCUUAUCUAUUACUCAUAUUUGGGUCUGUCCUGAUAUUGUUUUAAUAUAAAUACGCGAAAUUAUAUUUCGAAAUCACAGUUUGACAGCUUUAUACGCCAGCAAUCGUUUUGAGAGACAUCCAGUAAAUUAAAUUCUGAGCAAAAUGAAAUACAUGCUCAUCAUCGCAUCCGUUGUUGCUUUGGCUGCAGCCAGCCCCACCCGUGGCCUAGUGGAAGUCGGGCCUGGCGGUCCCGCGCCAGUCCUUCCAGAGCCCAUCGCAGUCGGACCAGCCAUCUUAGACUUCGAACCAGUAGAUAUUGGACCUGCCCCCGUAGUCCCGGAACCUAUCGUACCUGUGCCAACACCUGUGUUCCCUGUAGAAGACCUGCCAAAUCCAGCACCCGCUAAUCCUAUUGUUCAAAUCAUUUUGAACAUUAAUGGACAGGUAUCAGUGCCUGGUAUUGUGGUCCCCAAACCUCCAAUUGGUGUGCUACCUACACCUGUGCAGGUUGUUGAUGUCGCUCCGGAACCUGUAGAUAUUGCACCUGUUCUGGUACCUGAACCUAUUCAAAUAGGUACACCUGUUUUGCCUAUUCCUGCUCAAGUGAUGCCAGAUGAAUUAAAUUAAGAUGAAGGAGGCGUUAGUGUUAAGAUUUGUGAUAAGAAAAUUAUUGUGAUAUUUUUUAAUAAAGUUUUUUUUUAAUAAUUA